rnacentral:snRNA from 1 species
AGUCUCAAAUAUAAUUUUUACU